AGAGUUUGAUCCUGGCUCAGGAUGAACGCUGGCGGCGUGCUUAACACAUGCAAGUCGAACGGGGUCAUCAUUUUUGAAGUGAUUAGCUUGCUAAGAAUGGAGAUGUUGAUGACUUAGUGGCGGACGGGUGAGUAAUGCGUGGGUAACCUGCCGUAUACAGGGGGAUAACACUUAGAAAUAGGUGCUAAUACCGCAUAAGCGCACGGGGACGCAUGUUUCUGUGUGAAAAACCGAGGUGGUAUACGAUGGACCCGCGUCUGAUUAGCCAGUUGGCAGGGUAACGGCCUACCAAAGCGACGAUCAGUAGCCGGCCUGAGAGGGCGGACGGCCACAUUGGGACUGAGACACGGCCCAAACUCCUACGGGAGGCAGCAGUGGGGGAUAUUGCACAAUGGGGGAAACCCUGAUGCAGCGACGCCGCGUGAGUGAAGGAGUAUUUCGGUAUGUAAAGCUCUAUCAGCAGGGAAGAAAGUGACAGUACCUGACUAAGAAGCCCCGGCUAACUACGUACCAGCAGCCGCGGUAAUACGUAGGGGGCAAGCGUUAUCCGGAUUUACUGGGUGUAAAGGGAGCGUAGACGGCGAUGUAAGUCUGGAGUGAAAGCCCGCGGCCCAACUGCGGGACUGCUCUGGAAACUGUGUUGCUGGAGUACAGGAGGGGCAGGCGGAAUUCCUGGUGUAGCGGUGAAAUGCGUAGAUAUCACGAGGAACACCGGCGGCGAACGCGGCCUGCUGGACUGCAACUGACGUUGAGGCU
rnacentral:rRNA from 1 species